GGAGUUUAGUGUGAAAUGUGUUGUGUGUGGGUUGUGUUGGUAAAGCCAGCUUCUCCGGCAAAUGGCAGAGAGCCCCCUUUCAGCAAAUGCUGAAGAGCCCUGAGGAGAGAUGCGCAGCCUUCUGCCUCCAUCCUCCUUCUAGCAGCUAAAAGCAGCACUGGGGACCAACUGCAGCAAUCUCUUAGAAAAUGUCAGAACUCCGGAGGGCAUCAAGCAUGGGCUGAUGUCUCUGAAAUGCCAGGGAAGCCCACCAGUGGAAUAAGGAGGUGUCCAUCAGUCUGUAACCCUGUGUGUUACCAGCCUGUAACCCUGGGGUCUCCAGGGUGGUAAGACAAGGGAGGUCUCAGGCACUUCUUGCACUGUGUGUCCAGAGAAGAGGCCGCAAGGACGCUGAAAGACCAGCCCAGCUCAGCUAAAUGGCAUGGUGCUGCUAAACCAGUGGUGGCAAGGCACAGCCCAAGGCACCUGGGUGUAUAUAACCAGUACUGCUCAUGUGAGCGAAGAAUACCACGCAGCAUCUCAUCGUCCGGGCAUCCUGUUCCCGUGGGAAGGGAAGAGACACGAGAAAAUGGAAAAAUUCCUGCAAAACAAGGAUACCAGCCACCUGGACUGAGCAACUCUGCUUGAUCCUUGAAGGAGAAAAGGACCAGGACUGAUGGAAAAAUUAACUGCGUAUGUCCCAACUGAAACGGGCUGUGAGAACCUGGAAAGAUGGAGGGGCCCGAGAUGCAUGGGAGUCCUGUUCUGAUGUAACGCCCAGGGCCAGAUCCUGCCCGGUGCUGAGUCCUCUGUUCCUGGCAGGAGAGAUGAGCCACUUCCUAGGCCGAAGCCUAAAAGUCUGAAAAGAAGCAAUAGAAUAUUUAUGGCUGUGUCCUGACAGCUUUUUCUAUUCUCCGGGCUGUUUCCUGUGAUUUUACGCUCCACUAGGUGGUCAAAGAGGCUCCUCUGGAGAGCUAUUAAAGCGUAUUUAAUCCAUAGAGGUGUUUUGCUGAUUGCGGAGGAAAAUCACCCUGCCGUGAAUGGGAAGCAAAUUGUGUCCUUGAGGGGGCUGGAGAGAGCACGAAGAGAUCUCCUGCCCCUUUGGGCUUGCAUUAACCUUGCUUUAAUCAGAGCUUCUCAAGGUGCCAGGGUCCUCAGGUGUUCA
rnacentral:lncRNA from 1 species